GACGAACGCUGGCGGCGUGCUUAACACAUGCAAGUCGAACGGUAGAGGGGGCAACCCCUUGAGAGUGGCGAACGGGCGAGUAAUGCAUCGGAACGUGCCCAGUCGUGGGGGAUAACGCAGCGAAAGCUGUGCUAAUACCGCAUACGAUCUCUGGAUGAAAGCGGGGGACCGAAAGGCCUCGCACGAUUGGAGCGGCCGAUGUCAGAUUAGGUAGUUGGUGGGGUAAAGGCUCACCAAGCCAACGAUCUGUAGCUGGUCUGAGAGGACGACCAGCCACACUGGGACUGAGACACGGCCCAGACUCCUACGGGAGGCAGCAGUGGGGAAUUUUGGACAAUGGGCGCAAGCCUGAUCCAGCAAUGCCGCGUGCAGGAAGAAGGCCUUCGGGUUGUAAACUGCUUUUGUACGGAACGAAAAGGUCUGGGUUAAUACCCUGGGCACAUGACGGUACCGUAAGAAUAAGCACCGGCUAACUACGUGCCAGCCGCCGCCGUAA
rnacentral:rRNA from 1 species